UACAGAGGUCUCGAGCGUUAAUCGGAGUCACUGGGCUUAAAGGGUGCGUAGGCGGCGCCGCAAGUGCCUUGUGAAAUCCCUCGGCUUAACCGAGGAACUGCCAUCCAGACUGCUUGGCUUGAGACCGGGAGAGGUGAGUGGAAUUCCCAGUGUAGCGGUGAAAUGCGUAGAUAUUGGGAGGAACACCAGUGGCGAAGGCGGCUCACUGGACCGGUACUGACGCUGAGGCGCGAAAGCGUGGGGAGCAAACGGG
rnacentral:rRNA from 1 species